CGCAUUUCAAUUGAAUGGUUGUGAGAAAACCACAGCACCACUGCGAAAUGAAAUCAAACCCACUUCAGAAAUUUAUUUCUUUUGAUAAGCACUUCCACCAAAAGCUCCAAAAUUAUCCAUAUUUAUCUGGCUUCUGCUUUUCAAUCAGGAGUUCAGGUAUGUCCCCAUCUCUUGCAGUAGCUGGGAAUUCUGUAAAAAUGCAAACUUUGCUGGAAAUUAUAUAAUUUCAUAGGAAUUUCAAUUCUGGGUUGGUAUAGUUUCUUGUAAAAAUAUCUGAAAAAAUGCAAGCUUUAGUCACUUGGGAAGUACCCCAGGUUGGAUUUGAACUUGGUUCUUCUUGUAAAUUUAGAACUAGAAGUAGGAGGAAAAAGAUUGAAGUUGUGCGUUUUCCUGUUUGUAAUGGUGGAAAUGGUGACGUUUUACUUGGGAGUGAGGGUUUCAAUGGAAGCAGAAAAUUUGGUUUCGCAUGUGGGUGCUUCUCUGGGCACUCUAGACUUAAACUUGCUCGGUUUUGUGAGCCGAAGAAGGGUUCAUUUGGCGGUUCGUUUGUGGUAGCAUGGGCAUUGGAGAAGCAAGCAAUUGGGAAUGUGGUUCUUGUGGAGGAAGCGAAUCCGGAAAAUAGGUUGUCGGGUGAAUGCGAGGGUGAGGGUGUUGUUGCUCAUCGAAAUGUGGAUGGAAGGAAGGGCCGUGAUGGUAAUGAUGAUGAUGAAAUAGGGAUAGGAGGUCAAGGAGAGAAUUGGGAACAGAGAAAUGAAAAGAUUGACGUGCGUGCGCUGGCGCUAAGCUUACAGUUUGCGAAAACAGCUGACGAUGUUGAAGAGGUUCUGAAGGACAAGGGUGAUUUGCCCCUUCAAGUAUUCUCAUCCAUUAUCAGGGGUUUCGGAAGAGACAGAUUGAUGGAUUCCGCUUUUGCUAUUGUCGAGUGGCUUAAGAGGAAGAAGGAAGAAACUAAUGGUUUCGUUACCCCAAACUUAUUCAUAUAUAACAGUCUUUUGGGUGCAGUGAAGCAAUCUGGACAAUUCGGACAAAUUGACAAGGUAUUGAGCGAUAUGACUAGGGAAGGGGUGGUACCGAAUGUUGUAACUUACAACACUAAAAUGGCGAUUUACAUUGAACGGGGACAAAGUAUGGAGGCCCUUCAUGUCCUUGAGGAGAUUCAAGAGAAGGGCCUGAUUCCAUCUUCAGUAUCGUACUCCACAGCAUUGUUGGCUUAUCAACGAAUGCAAGAUGGGAAUGGAGCUUUAAAGUUCUUUGUUGAGUUUAGAGAAAAUUAUCGUAAAGGUCAUAUAGGUAAAGAUGCUGAUGUAGACUGGGAAGAGGAGUUUGUGAAGCUUGAGAACUUUACAAAACGCGUUUGCUACCAAGUGAUGCGAAGGUGGCUUGUGAGGGAUGAUAACUUAACCACCAAUGUGCUCAAACUACUAACAGAGAUGGAUAUUGCUGGGGUUCCACUUGGUAGGGCAGAGCACGAGCGCCUUUUGUGGGCUUGUACCCGCGAAGAACAUUAUAUUGUAGCAAAAGAUUUGUAUAGUAGGAUAAGAGAAAAGCAUUCUGACAUAAGUUUAGCCGUGUGUAACCAUACGAUUUGGUUGAUGGGGAAGGCUAAGAAAUGGUGGGCAGCUUUGGAGAUUUAUGAGGAUAUGUUGGACAAGGGGCCGCAGCCAAAUAACAUGUCAUAUGAAUUGAUUGUAUCUCACUUUAAUGUUCUGCUAAGUGCAGCUAGAAAAAGAGCAAUUUGGAAAUGGGGUGUUAGGUUGCUCAACAAGAUGGAAGAGAAGGGGCUUAAACCAAGAAGUAAGGAAUGGAAUGCGGUUCUUGUUGCCUGUUCCAAGGCUGCUGAAACUUCUGCUGCUGUCAAAAUUUUUAAGAGAAUGGUGGAGCAAGGUCAGAAACCCACAAUCCUUUCUUACGGGGCAUUGCUUAGUGCCCUCGAGAAGGGUAAGCGCUAUGAUGAGGCCCGUCAGGUGUGGGAACAUAUGCUUAAGGUUGGUCUGAAGCCAAACUUGUAUGCCUACACAACUAUGGCUUCGAUUUUCAGUGGACAUGGAAAACCUAACAUGGUAGAUGCCAUCAUAGAUGACAUGGUUUCAGCAGGCAUUGAGCCAACUGUUGUCACAUACAAUGCCAUUAUCAGUGGGUUUGCAAGAAAUGGUUUUAGCAGUGCUGCAUAUGAUUGGUUUGACCGCAUGAAAGCUCAGAACAUCCCUCCAAACCAUGUCACAUACGAAAUGAUGAUUGAGGCUCUCGCAAAGGAAGGGAAGCCAAGGCUUGCAUAUGAGCUAUAUUUGAGCGCUCGAACUCAACGCCUUGCCCUCUCUUCAAAAGCUUAUGACACAGUCGUUCAGUCCUCACUGGAAUCCGGAGCUAACAUUGAUGUAAGACUUUUAGGGGAACGCCCACCAGAGAGAAAGGUGAACGGGCAAGGUAGGAACACUUCCAGCCAAGUUUCUUAAAAAUUCAGAAGUUUCACAACUCCUAAGAGAUGCAAAAACAUUUGAUAACGAAGAAAUAUACGCUGUAACGACACAAAACAACCAGGAUCAAGAUGCUUGCAAGUUACCACCGUUGUAAAGGAGUAGCAAGAAUUGGACGCUUGAGCAUUAGGCAAUCUCCAGAUAAAGUCCAAUCAUUUGGCCCCGGUCUAAACUCCUGCGUUGGCAACGACCAACGACCCAAAAGAAAAAAGAGAUACAAAAUUCACCUUCGUUGGCACGCAAAAGCAACUGAGAUUUCGACAGAUGCGUGUUGUUAUGUUUAACCAACAGUACUGCUAUUUCAUCGGAUGCCAAAACUUAGGUUCAAUUGGAGGGAUUAGGAUUCUCUCCGGAUCCUUUCAUCCAAAUUUUCCGCAUCCUUCAAUUCUGAAGCUGGAGAGAGGGAUGGAGAAGAGAAAAGAGGAUGAACAAGAGAAAGUGAUCAUGGAAGAAGAUGAACAUAAGGAGGUGAAGAUGAAAGUGAACAUCAAAUUAAUUUCUGACUAUUCAAUUUUUGGUUGAACGUACGUAAUUGAAGAAUUCGGAGAAUUAAAAUGGAAGGAAUACAUGGCCACUAUAGAGCGCGAGUAAGGCCUUAUCCGUUUUAAGAGAGGGUAUUGAUGGAAUUUUAGACAAUUUAGAAAAGAAUAUUAUUGUUUAUUGCAAUUUGCAAGCAAAAUUCUUGUCGUGGACACAUCAAUUCACAUGCUUUUGG